UUCUUUUUGAGGGAAAAUUCACAUUGCGAUAAGACGUGUCACGGUACUUGUCUGUCCCAAAUUCAUGUAUUUGGUUUUGAUGUUAUAUUUGUUAUUCUCGUGGGAUUUUGUCUGAUGCUUGGUCCGUUUCUGUGUGUGUUACAUUGUAGUGUUGUGUCGUUGUUCUCCUCUUAUAUUUAAUGCGUUUCCCUCAGUUUUAGUUUGUUACCUCGA
rnacentral:lncRNA from 1 species